GAUUGGUACAUGCAAACAGCGGAGAGGGGUUAAGGCGGUGCAGGAGAUUUCUAUGACGGAGACAAUUCGUUACAAUUAUGUGGCUGAGCUUCAGAGAAAAGUAGCAAAAUGUGGUCCCAUCUCGGUUUAUCUGGACAUUAACUCGGGAAGAGAAAAAAAAAACAAUUUUCAGCAUUACAAACAACAUUGAAUGUGGAAAUAAGCCGGAAGAUCUCAAUCACGCUGUACUGGUAGUUGGAUACGGCGAAACACCUGAAGGUCAAGGUUACUGGAUCAUCAAGAAUAGUUAUGGUACAGUUUGGGGCUUGGAAGGCUAUAUGAAGAUGAUGAGAAACGGACAAAACACAUGUGGAAUAGCAACUCGUGCAAGCUUUCCAAUCAUAGAUGAACCAAUCGACAUCAGUUGUUAUAGUUUCUAAACUUUCUUUGAAUGUAUGGUUUGCUUGUUGUAUGAUGUCGGAGUAAUUUGAUAUUGUUUGUUUCAAAGUUACAGAAUUUGCUAGAAAGAAGAUACAAGAAAUAUACAUUUUAUUAAUUUGAAAUUCUGACUGUUUUAAGUACAUAUCAAGCCAAGUCAGUUACGCACAGCAAAGACAUAUUCUGGUUAAUCAACCAAACGGUUAGCGGAUGAAGGAGAUUAAAUGAAGUGUGAUAGCUUUAUCUUAUACAAUAUUUAUGACCAUUCCCAAUUAGACCCUUUUAUAUAUCAAUUAUCUCCUAAACUAUAUGUCUAAUCCUUUAUACAUUUUA